AGCCUCUCCCCCGGCUCGCCCAUGGGCUGGGAUCCGAGGGGUCAAAUUACAUGGGCUCGCGUGAUGGGGUGCUCGUGACCCGCCACGCUAAACUUAAGCGGGCUCGCCGGCCGUAACCCUGUCUGUCGGGGUGCGUACGGUCAAAUCAAAGACAGACUAAGCAUGUAGUCGCCGGUGCGUGGCGGAUUGACGGACGCGGGUUCGAUUCCCGCCGCCUCCACCA
rnacentral:tmRNA from 1 species